rnacentral:lncRNA from 1 species
AGGGCAGCGUGGGACGCUACGGCGGAUAUGGCUGCAGAGCGGCCGGCUGGGAUCUUAGAUAGGAGGGGUGGAUUUGCAAGGCCUAGAAUAGCUGGGGAGUGGUUUCCCCGCGGAAUCGGCCUCCCUGCCGCUCCUGCUUUGUACUGUGACGCUCAGCCUGUGAUGACUGGUGUGGAAUCCGCUGAGCCACCUUGGCCUAAGGAGACUUUACCACUCUGAGAUUGUAAAUCUGUAAAAUAGAGAUGUAGGAUUAGCCCAUACGGUAGUUGUGGUAAAUACUGUGAGACAAUAAGGGGCCUGGGACACAGCAUUCAAAUGGGAAUAAUGAAGGUCAAGACUGUGAUUCCUGUAUCUUUGACGCUCUCGGUAUAAGCACCGUCGUGGGCACAGGGCAGUGGCCUUUAUGCAGGAGUUUAAGAGGGAAUGAAGGAAUGAAUGGGCAAACUCUGGAGUUCCCAAGUAUUCUCUCCAGGAGCUGUUUCCAUUCUUUUCGUUUCCAGCAGAUUCAAGAGGCAAUUGUUGGAAUGUAAAAAGAGCACGGGACUUGGAGUCAAAUACUUAAGUCUACCAUCAAGUAGUUGUUAAGAAUUAAACAACAAUUUUUGUGUACCCAGUUAAAUGUGGGCUGCUUAGGAAUGAUGACUGUGUCUUAAUGAUCUCUGUAUUCUUAGUGACAUGUAGAAUCAUUGUGCCUGACACAUAGUAUGUACUCAGGAAAGAAAUGGAAAAUGUGGUUUUAGCAUUGAAGGCCGGGAGAGAGGGUCUAACAGACUACAAGCCCUGCCAGGAGCAGAGUAAGGGAAACAGAGGAGAAAAGUGUUUUUAGUCUGUGCCUGAAUGUAUUUACAUCUGUUUGUAGCCCAAAAGCCAAAAGCAUACAUACGCUUGGCUUUUCUGUAGCUAUGUUUAUGGCUUUACAGCAGAUUUUAUGGAGCUGCAAUUACUUUGAUCAUGAGGGACUGAUGCUAGUGGAUUUACUUCACCAAAUGGAACUCACUUUGUGGCUUCUGAAGAAGGGACCUUUGUGGACUGUCAUGGAGUAGUUAAGAGUGCAGGCUCUGAUUUAGUGAUCAGAGUCUGCAUUGUCAGGAAUGGGACAAAGUGAAGUUAUGUGGCACUUGAUAGGAUGCCCUGAGAAGAUUGCAACAUCACCCCUGUGAUAUUCCUGCUGAAGAUCCAUAACCUGGAUGUAAUCAUGAGGAUAUAUCAGACAAACCCACGUAAAGAGACAUGCUGUAUACAAAACUGUAAUCUUAGAAAGUGCCAAGGUCAUGAAAAUCAAAGAUAGACCCUGGAACUGUUCCAAACUGGAGGGGACCAAAGAGGCAUGACAACUAAACACAACACAUGAUUCUGAACUGGAUCUUUUUGCUUGAAAGGAAGUUACAGGGACAGUUGGAAAAGUUUAAAUGGGGCCUACAAUGCCGUGGUAAUGAUGUGUCCGUGUUAAUUUCCUGAUUUUCAUGGUUGCCUGUUAAGUUACAUCAGAGGAUGUUCUUGUUUGCUGGAAAGUAAAUCAAUGUAUUUGGCAGGGGAUAAGGCAUCAAAUGGUCACCUUAAUUUCAAAUUAUUACAGGGAAAAUGUUUCUCUCUGUACUUAAUAACUUUUUUGCAAUUUCUUAAAAUGAAAGCUCUGGAGUAAAAACUUCAAGGAUCCAAAAAAAAAAAAAAAA